UGGAACUCCUGAUUUUAGCAUUAUAUCUAUGGGACAUUAAUUCUUGAUUUACAAGCUCUUACUUAACAAACAGUUUCCUGAUACAAGUUAAUUUGUAAAGAAAGAACUACCUGUAUACUAUUAAGUGAAAUAUGAUAUCCAGUGCCCAUUGGUGGACCUAUGGUCAGAGUUAUGGCCAAGCUAGUUGUUAGGCACAAAAAAUGCAAUAAUAUAGACAGUUAUGCCUUCUAUAAAAUUUUUGCAAAAUACAUUAACAAUGUGUUUAUUCUAUGGAAUGGUAAAAUUCACACUAAGCAUUUUAUCAAAACUCUAAAACCAGGAUCGGCAAGUAAUUUUAGGUGGGGUCUGGAUACUUUUGAAAAUUUUUAUUGAGGUCCAGAAAAAAACUUAUAUUCCUUACUAA
rnacentral:lncRNA from 1 species